UUCGGUGGUUAUGGCGGAGGGGAAACACCCGGUCCCAUUCCGAACCCGGAAGUUAAGCCCUUCAGCGCCGAUGGUACUGCAUGGGAGACCGUGUGGGAGAGUAGGACACCGCCGGAC
rnacentral:rRNA from 1 species